UAAAAGGUGCCAAUCUGUUUAUACGGAGGCU
rnacentral:piRNA from 1 species